GCCGCCUUAGCUCAGUCGGCCAGAGCGGUUCACUCGUAAUGAACAGGUCAAGGGUUCGAUUCCCUUAGGCGGCUCCG
rnacentral:tRNA from 1 species